UACGUAGGGGGCAAGCGUUGUCCGGAUUUACUGGGCGUAAAGAGCGUGUAGGCGGCCAAACAGGUCCGUUGUGAAAACUGGAGGCUCAACUUCCAGACGUCGACGGAAACCGUGUGGCUAGAGUCCGGAAGAGGAGAGUGGAAUUCCUGGUGUAGCGGUGAAAUGCGCAGAUAUCAGGAGGAACACCAAUAGCGAAGGCAGCUCGCUGGGACGUUACUGACACUGAGGCGCGAAAGCGUGGGGAGCGAACAGG
rnacentral:rRNA from 1 species